rnacentral:rRNA from 1 species
UACGGAGGGGGCUAGCGUUGUUCGGAAUUACUGGGCGUAAAGCGCACGUAGGCGGCUUUGUAAGUUAGAGGUGAAAGCCCGGGGCUCAACUCCGGAAUUGCCUUUAAGACUGCAUCGCUCGAAUUGUGGAGAGGUAAGUGGAAUUCCGGGUGGAGUGGUGAAAUGCGUAGAGAUCCGGAGGAACACCAAAGGCGAAGGCAGUGUCCUGGGGAGUACCUGACGCUCAGGUGCCGAAAGCCAGGGGAGCGAACGGG